ensembl:lncRNA
CUCUGUCUCUCUCUCUCUCUCUCUCUCUCUCUCUCUCUCUCUCUCUCUCUCUCUCUGCCCCCAUUGUGCUUUUUGACCCUUUUGUUGUCCCUUGUUCCCAGUUAUUAUUUGCACCUGUGCCUCGUUUCCCCUGAUUGUAUUUAAACCCUUCGUGUUCCUCAGUUCUUUGCUCUGGGUUUGUAUGUUAGCACCCAGCCAUGCUGUGAACUCUUGUUUCUCUAGUUGGAUUUUGUUGAGGCCCAGCUCAAGGACACAGGCAGCACCUACACAGGUCCCAGCUCCAGAACACAGGCAGCACCGAUACUGAUCCCAGCUAAAGGAACACAGGCAGCACCGAUACUGGUCCCAGCUAAAGGAACACAGGCAGCACCUACACAGGUCCCAGCUCCGGAACACAGGCAGCACCUACACAGGUCCCAGCUCCGGAACACAGGCAGCACCUACACAGGUCCCAGCUCCAGAACACAGGCAGCACCGAUACUGGUCCCAGCUCCAGAACACAGGCAGCACCGAUACUGGUCCCAGCUAAAGGAACACAGGCAGCACCGAUACUGGUCCCAGCUAAAGGAACACAGGCAGCACCGAUACUGGUCCCAGCUAAAGGAACACAGGCAGCACCGAUACUGGUCCCAGCUAAAGGAACACAGGCAGCACCGAUACUGGUCCCAGCUCCAGAACACAGGCAGCACCGAUACUGGUCCCAGCUAAAGGAACACAGGCAGCACCUACACAGGUCCCAGCUAAAGGAACACAGGCAGCACCGAUACUGGUCCCAGCUAAAGGAACACAGGCAGCACCUACACAGGUCCCAGCUCCGGAACACAGGCAGCACCGAUACAGGUCCCAGCUAAAGGAACACAGGCAGCACCGAUACUGGUCCCAGCUAAAGGAACACAGGCAGCACCUACACGGGUCCAAGCUAAAGGAACACAGGCAGCACCAAUACUGGUCCCAGCUAAAAGAACACAGGCAGCACCGAUACAGGUCCCAGCUAAAGGAACACAGGCAGAACCGAUACUGGUCCCAGCUCCAGAACACAGGCAGCACCGAUACUGGUCCCAGCUCCAGAACACAGGCAGCACCGAUACUGGUCCCAGCUAAAGGAACACAGGCAGCACCGAUACUGGUCCCAGCUAAAGGAACACAGGCAGCACCGAUACUGGUCCCAGCUAAAGGAACACAGGCAGCACCUACACAGGUCCCAGCUAAAGGAACACAGGCAGCACCGAUACUGGUCCCAGCUAAAGGAACACAGGCAGCACCUACACAGGUCCCAGCUCCGGAACACAGGCAGCACCGAUACAGGUCCCAGCUAAAGGAACACAGGCAGCACCGAUACUGGUCCCAGCUAAAGGAACACAGGCAGCACCGAUACUGGUCCCAGCUAAAGGAACACAGGCAGCACCUACACGGGUCCAAGCUAAAGGAACACAGGCAGCACCGAUACUGGUCCCAGCUAAAAGAACACAGGCAGCACCGAUACAGGUCCCAGCUAAAGGAACACAGGCAGAACCGAUACUGGUCCCAGCUCCAGAACACAGGCAGCACCGAUACUGGUCCCAGCUCCAGAACACAGGCAGCACCGAUACUGGUCCCAGCUAAAGGAACACAGGCAGCACCGAUACUGGUCCCAGCUAAAGGAACACAGGCAGCACCGAUACUGGUCCCAGCUAAAGGAACACAGGCAGCACCGAUACUGGUCCCAGCUCCGGAACACAGGCAGCACCGAUACUGGUCCCAGCUAAAGGAACACAGGCAGCACCGAUACUGGUCCCAGCUAAAGGAACACAGGCAGCACCGAUACUGGUCCCAGCUAAAGGAACACAGGCAGCACCUACACGGGUCCCAGCUCAGGAAGCGAAUGAAAGGCCAAGAAUGCAACGUCUGCCACGCCCACUGUAGCGCAGCGUGGAAUCUUGCUUCGCGUUGAUGCAGACAACUAGUUCCACAAGGCGAACCCGCUCCGAGUAACCGCAGCCUCGAGCCCAGAUGCGACUCUGUCUCCUCUGGGGCGCGUUGGGCGGGAGGCUAUGAUAAAGACUGAACUUGGUAACUUGCACACAGUAUAACAUAAACGCAAUUGAAUGCAAGUUAUAGCAGGGUUGGAUCGUUGUAAUUCUCGACAUUGAACCCUGAUUUUAACCUCACCAGCAGCCGAUACAGACAGACAAAAAGGACCGCUUCUUGUUCCUCCCGAAUCGCCUUUGAAUGUGAGCUGUCCGCGGUACCUGGACGGGAAAGAUGCAGCAAAGAAGAUGCAGCUUUUUUAUGGUUUUAUCCUUUUUACUACAGAUGGGAAACGCAGGUAAGUGGCGCAGAUUACGACACCAAUAACCCAGCAAGCAUUCAAAUAGAUUCAAUGAAUGUCAUCACUGACUGGUGUUAUAGCCUAUUGUCCAGUUAGUGCACAGAAACACCUAUACCAUUCAAUGCAACUCCAUAACCUAUGCUUUCAGCAUCACGCAUAGCAGGCACAUCUGUAUGUAGUUUAUACAGGGUUGUAAUGGUAUUUGUUUUGUCAGGUGCUGCGUGCAUGUUGUUGCUGCAUGCAUGAUUUAUGCCAAUGAUGAGGAAUAGGGCGACCGUCAAUAUGUAACGGUGCAUUAGAAGCAUAACCAUCUUAUGUUUCAUCUGAAUUUUUCAUGCAACAAAGACAGAAUCGAAGUUGUUCCGUUUGUGUGGUCCGUCUGCAAAUGCAUAAAACUCGAGGCUGAAAGCCGAUCGAAUAGAAUCCCACCUCUAAUCCAAUAAGGAAGCGUGUUUUCAGGACCAUGGCUAGCAACCGGCCGAAAACAACACUACUGUCGUUAGGGAGAAAAUGUCUCAACUGUGUUUGUGAAAGAGGAAGGGUCGCGCAGCAGUAAUGACCUGGAUGAAGGAGACUGUAUUGUGAACGGUGUUAGUCUAAAGACAAUGCCACGUAAUAUACACGUUGUUUUACAGAGAAUGUACAAUACAAUAAUUACCGAGUUUACUAUUGUGAUAUUCUACAUAGAUUUUACAGCUGGCAUUACUGUAUCAUACUGAUACACAGUUUAUUACAGGUUAAGAGGGGGAGAGAGGAGGAGAGCAAGAGAGGAGAGAGGGGGGAGAGAGAGAGACAUGUAGAUAGACUACAUGUAUUUAUUCUGCUCUUAGUCUAUACCAGAAGACCAUUGAUAAACCUGUCAUUGUGACUCAGAGAGAUACUGUAAAACCAACGCAGCCUGUAAACUAGAUGUCUAGAGAAGAUCAUCUGGCUGUUACCAUAGAGAUCUUUUUAAAUUCCACUAGCAUUCUAAUUCCUAACUCUAUGCUUGUCACUCAGUGAAGGUCAAUGGGAAAAACCCAUGUGAUUGGCAGCUGUUGACCUCCAGGCCUACGCCCCUGAGUUCUAGAAUGCUUAUUCUGUUCUACACUCUCAGAAGAAGCCGAAAUGAUUCCUAAAAUCAGAGCUUUCAUUCUCUUCACUGGCAUCAGAUAUAGUGUGAUGUAUUACUAGGAGGGAUGACAUUUCUUCUUCCCACUUCCCUUCCAUACCACCUUGCUGUGCUGACACGCGUGCCUGGCACAUGAGGAAAUGUGAUCUUUCUCUCCCCAUAUCUCUCUCUCUCUCACCCUCCCUCCCUUUCUCUCUCUCUCUCUCUCUCUCGCUCUCUCUCUCGCUCUCUCUCUCCCUACUGUAUCUCUCUCCCUGCUGCCUGCUGCCUGCUGCCUCCGCCUCUCAAUCUGGAAAAUGAAUAACAACAUGACAUUCACUCGAGAAAGAGUGA